UCUCAGCCUCUCAUUCCCUCACCAAACUCCCACGUGUUGCCCAUCGGUAUCUCCGUUGUUGUAUCAGACAAAAGCACGUAUGUACAUUCAAAAUCUACAUUCAAAAUCAGUUGUUAUGUUUUCACUUUUCAGCUGUGAUUGUUUGAGUUGUGAUUGAUGGAUUCCAUGGAAAGGACUAAUUUGAAGUCGGUUGUUUAGGAGCUCGAUUGUGGUAUAUAGUUUUUCAGUUGUAAUGAUGGAUUUUUUAGAAAAAGCCCCUCUCAAGUCGCCGGCAUCGGAGUCGGAAGGAAUUGAGUGUUACAUGGGAUGUUGAUUGUAUGGAGAGUUGCUCAAAGUUGUCGGUGGUGAAGAAAGGUAUUUUGGUGAUUGUUUGACAAUUUAGGAUGACCGCUUAUUUUAUCAAGACAAAGUGGCCAGAAAAAGCUCCAAAGAGUGAAGAAGAACGGAAGGAUUUUAUUGCUUCAGUUCACAAGCGAAAGACAAUGCUAUUUAUGGUCCUCAUUGAGAAGAAGUUGUUUCCUCUACGGCCUGGUGUUGCAAAAUUAAUUGAUCAGACAUUUGCAAAAGGAGUAAAAGUUGCUGUUUGCACUACUUCUAAUGAGAAGGCGGUAUGCUUCAUCAGGUUCUUAACUUAUGAUGUGUAAUAGCCUAAUAGGUUUUGUAGUUCUUAUGAAAGGAAGAAAUGAUCCUUACGGAGCUAAUAUAAAAUCUUGGGAAAAGAUGGAAAAUGGAAUCAUGUUAUAGAUAAAUUAUAUUGUUUUAUUUAUGCCAUGUUAUAGAUAAAUAUUAGUAGAUCUCACGUUUUAAGAUACGUGCCAAGUUGUUCACGGUCUCUGUUAUUUUGUAAGCAUUUAUUUAUUUGGACUUUUGUUCAUGAAACUUUAUUUUCCGGCUUUUAAUGACUAUAUAUUCUAUGCUAUUGUAUUGAUAGAUAUAUGCAAAAACAUAAGAAAGUGAGCAUCAGAGAAGUAAAACAUUGCAGGCAUAUUUUGGAAGGCCUUCUUUACCUCUAUAGCAUAAUCCUCGAAUUCUACAUAGGGAUCUCAAGUGUGACAAUAUUUUUGUAAAUGGCACUCAAGGGGAAUUCAAGUGAUCCUGGCCUUCUGUCAAAAAAAUAAGAAGUGAUCUUGGCCUUGCUGCAAUACUAUGCACAUUACAUGCUGCUCACUGCAUUGGCAAGUUCGUGCACUUUGUAUUUUAAGGUUCAAAUAAUUCAUGUAAAGUGGAUCUGUGCAAGUGAAAAUAGUUCAAUAUAUAGCAUUUGGUGGAGCUAUUGAGAAGCCUCAAGCUAUAUAGCAGCAGAAAGCUACAAAGGCAGAACACAAUUUCAGAGUAGAUGGAUCACUUGGGUUUGCCUUCAGUCCUCUCCUCAACGAAUUAAUAUUGCCCUGACAAGAGCAAGGUGGUCUCUGAUUGCUGGAAUAGUAAUUUCAAAAUUCAAUCCUCUGUCUGAGCGGAAGGAAUGGACUUUGGUGCCAAUAAAAUAAAAGUGUUCUAUUUUGUGGGUAAGUAAUACUAUAAUCUUUUGUCACCCCUUCAUUAAAUUCUUAUAAAUUUAAUCUUUAUUCUCCAGCUUUUCCUACUAUUCCCCUAAUCUUUCAUUGUAAUUAAUGGAGCAUCAUUGUUAGCAUUUGUUUUAAUUAGAUAAUUGUUUCCAUGAUCUGUACAAAUGUUUUGCAUGAUCUCCCAGUUUUUGUGACACAUUGUUACAAGUAUCUAGAUUUGAAUUUCCAUGUGGACUAUUCGAAGGAGUUUAAGCUGGGGGCAAAAGUUGCGACUAAAUUUGAAUACAGGAGACCUUGGACAAACUGACUGGACUCGAUCAACACUUGACCACAUAUCAACAUCCAACUAUGAUAUGUUGAUUCUUCCAGGGGACUUGCGUUUUUUGUGCCUCUGCAUAGCUGAGCUGAUUAGAAUUUUAAUGAAUUUGAAAGCACUGAGCUAGAUUUAAGCUUUGAAUAUCUCACAAAGGAAUAACGUCAGAGGGAUGAAUGUUAAGGCAACAGUUGCUAUAGGCACAAAGAACACAAAUGAUGCUGAUGAUACAUCCUAGACUAUUGAUCUGAAUCAAGCUUUGGUAUUUCCUGAUUGUAUAAAAAAUGUGCAUUAUUAUUUGUUAAUAGCUGGCGGAGAUACAUUUCCUAAUCAUGCAUUGCGUAAUGUGACAAUGGAUUUGGAAGUAAAGUGACAGGUUGUGCUAGAUACAUAUCAGAAACUUGAUGAAACUUGAGGUGCUUGGCUUGAUUAAUCAGUAAUUAAGUAGUCAUAGCCCAUAAAUUCAUCACAACGGGGAAGAAUAAAUUUUAUUACAAUGUUGCAAUGAUUUAAAACUUCUAAUUAGAAUGAGUAUAAUCAGUGUGAUCUGGGAGAGUUUAGAAACCUUCACUUACAUAUUUGGUCAUCGAAAGGUAUGAUGAUAUGUUUUUGCUUUCUACCUUAUCAAUAGUCAUCAUUUCUUUGGGGAUGCAUCUUUUAGUCAGUGAUUGGAGGAGCCUUGAUAGACAAAUAUGGAGGCAAGAAAGUGAUUUCUUGGGGGGUGGCAUUGUGGUCUUUGGCAACUCUACUUACGCCAUGGGCUGCAAAUCACUCAACAACCAGUCUCUUAGUUGUUCGGGCAUUCUUCGGAUUGGCUGAAGGAGUUGCUUUACCAUCAAUGAACACCAUGUUAUCAAAGUGGUUUCGCAGUCAUGAAAGAGCAACUGCUGUUGUAUAUUAUCCAUGGGUGGUUUUCAUCUUGCAAAUGUCAUGGGCUUACUGCUAACACCACUAGCAAUGUCAACUGUAGGAUUGUCUAGCCCUUUCAUGCUCUUCUCUAGGAUUGCUAUGGUCAACUAUCUGGCCCUUUUGUGUGAAAUGAUCCAGAAGAAAGCAAUCCUAUUAGCGUAUCAGAACUACGAUUGAUCCAAGCUGGGAAAUCUGAUUCUCCUCUUGACAAGAGCAGCCUACCUCCUCUAGGGCUUUUAUUAUCUAAAAUGCCCACCUGAUGGGUUAUCAUUUUUGCAAACAUCACUAACAAUUGGUAGGCUUUCAAUCAAAAAUUUAACAUUUUGAUGUAAAGCAUUUUUGCAUUAGUAGGAUUUGAAAGAUGUACUUUUGUGCGGGACUGCGGGGAUACUUUUUUCUUCUAUCAUAGAUGCCAGUGUAUUUUUAA